UACGGGGGGGGCAAGCGUUGUUCGGAAUUACUGGGCGUAAAGGGCUCGUAGGCGGCCAACUAAGUCAGACGUGAAAUCCCUCGGCUUAACCGGGGAACUGCGUCUGAUACUGGAUGGCUUGAGUUUGGGAGAGGGAUGCGGAAUUCCAGGUGUAGAGGUGAAAUGCGUAGAUAUCUGCAGGAACACCCGUGGCGAAAGCGGCGCGCUGGACCACUACUGACGCUGAGGAGCGAAAGCGUGGGGAGCAAACAGG
rnacentral:rRNA from 1 species